rnacentral:rRNA from 1 species
UACAGAGGUCUCAAGCGUUGUUCGGAUUCAUUGGGCGUAAAGGGUGCGUAGGUGGCGCGGUAAGUCGGGUGUGAAAUUUCGGAGCUUAACUCCGAAACUGCAUUCGAUACUGCCGUGCUUGAGGACUGGAGAGGAGACUGGAAUUUACGGUGUAGCAGUGAAAUGCGUAGAGAUCGUAAGGAAGACCAGUGGCGAAGGCGGGUCUCUGGACAGUUACUGACACUGAGGCACGAAGGCCAGGGGAGCAAACGGG